rnacentral:rRNA from 1 species
AGCGAACGCUGGCGGCAUGCCCAACACAUGCAAGUCGAACGAGAUCUUCGGGUCUAGUGGCGCACGGGUGCGUAACGCGUGGGAAUCUGCUCUUUGGUUCGGAAUAACCGUUGGAAACGACUGCUAAUACCGAAUUAUGACGAAAAUCCAAAGAUAUAUCGCCGGAGGGUGAGCCCGCGUAGGAUUAGCUAGUUGGUGUGGUAAAGGCGCACCAAGGUGACGAUCCUUAGCUGGUCUGAGAGGAUGAUCAGCCACACUGGGACUGAGACACGGCCCAGACUCCUACGGGAGGAAGCAGUGGGGAAUAUUGGACAAUGGGCGAAAGCCUGAUCCAGCAAUGCCGCGUGGGUGAUGAAGGCCUUAGGGUUGUAAAGCUCUUUUACCCGGGAUGAGAAUGACAGUACCGGGAGAAUAAGCUCCGGCUAACUCCGUGCCAGCCGCCGCGGUAA